ACGGAAGGCAGCAGUGGGGAAUAUUGGACAAUGGGGGAAACCCUGAUCCAGCGACGCCGCGUGAGUGAAGAAGUAUUUCGGUAUGUAAAGCUCUAUCAGCAGGGAAGAUAAUGACGGUACCUGACUAAGAAGCCCCGGCUAACUACGUGCCAGCAGCCGCGGUAAUACGUAGGGGGCAAGCGUUAUCCGGAUUUAUUGGGUUUAAAGGGUGCGCAGGCGGGCUAGUAAGUCUCCGGUGAAAUGUCAGGGCUCAACCUUGGCACUGCCGGAGAUACUGUUGGCCUUGAGAGUGGCGGAGGUAUCCGGAAUGUGUGGUGUAGCGGUGAAAUGCAUAGAUAUCACACAGGACACCGAUUGCGAAGGCAGGAUACCAUACCAUAUCUGACGCUCAGGCACGAAAGCGUGGGGAUCGAACAGGAUUAGAUACCCUGGUA
rnacentral:rRNA from 1 species